rnacentral:rRNA from 1 species
UACAGAGGUCCCAAGCGUUGUUCGGAUUCACUGGGCGUAAAGGGUGCGUAGGUGGUCAGGUAAGUCUGAUGUGAAAUCUCUGGGCUCAACCCAGAAACUGCAUUGGAUACUAUCUGGCUAGAGGAGUGGAGGGGGGACUGGAAUACUUGGUGUAGCAGUGAAAUGCGUAGAUAUCAAGUGGAACACCAGUGGCGAAGGCGAGUCCCUGGACACUUCCUGACACUGAGGCACGAAAGCUAGGGGAGCAAACGGG